GACGAACGCUGGCGGCGUGCCUAAUACAUGCAAGUAGAACGCUGAAGGAGGAGCUUGCUUCUCUGGAUGAGUUGCGAACGGGUGAGUAACGCGUAGGUAACCUGCCUGGUAGCGGGGGAUAACUAUUGGAAACGAUAGCUAAUACCGCAUAAUAGCAGUUAUUGCAUGAUAACUGUUUGAAAGGUGCACUUGCACCACUACCAGAUGGACCUGCGUUGUAUUAGCUAGUUGGUGGGGUAACGGCUCACCAAGGCGACGAUACAUAGCCGACCUGAGAGGGUGAUCGGCCACACUGGGACUGAGACACGGCCCAGACUCCUACGGGAGGCAGCAGUAGGGAAUCUUCGGCAAUAGACGGAAGUCUGACCGAGCAACGCCGCGUGAGUGAAGAAGGUUUUCGGAUCGGAAAGCUCUGUUGUAAGAGAAGAACGAGUGUGAGAGUGGAAAGUUCACACUGUGACGGUAUCUUACCAGAAAGGGACGGCUAACUACGUG
rnacentral:rRNA from 1 species